GGGUGGUUAGCUCAGUCGGUAGAGCAGCGGACUUUUAAUCCGUUGGUCGCGAGUUCGAGUCUCGCACCACCCA
rnacentral:tRNA from 1 species